rnacentral:rRNA from 1 species
GACGAACGCUGGCGGCGUGCUUAACACAUGCAAGUCGAACGGAAAGGCCCUGCUUUUGUGGGGUGCUCGAGUGGCGAACGGGUGAGUAACACGUGAGUAACCUGCCCUUGACUUUGGGAUAACUUCAGGAAACUGGGGCUAAUACCGGAUAGGAGCUCCUGCUGCAUGGUGGGGGUUGGAAAGUUUCGGCGGUUGGGGAUGGACUCGCGGCUUAUCAGCUUGUUGGUGGGGUAGUGGCUUACCAAGGCUUUGACGGGUAGCCGGCCUGAGAGGGUGACCGGCCACAUUGGGACUGAGAUACGGCCCGGACUCCUACGGGAGGCAGCAGUGGGGAAUAUUGCACAAUGGGCGGAAGCCUGAUGCAGCAACGCCGCGUGCGGGAUGACGGCCUUCGGGUUGUAAACCGCUUUCGCCUGUGACGAAGCGUGAGUGACGGUAAUGGGUAAAGAAGCACCGGCUAACUACGUGCCAGCAGCCGCGGUGAUACGUAGGGUGCGAGCGUUGUCCGGAUUUAUUGGGCGUAAAGGGCUCGUAGGUGGUUGAUCGCGUCGGAAGUGUAAUCUUGGGGCUUAACCCUGAGCGUGCUUUCGAUACGGGUUGACUUGAGGAAGGUAGGGGAGAAUGGAAUUCCUGGUGGAGCGGUGGAAUGCGCAGAUAUCAGGAGGAACACCAGUGGCGAAGGCGGUUCUCUGGGCCUUUCCUGACGCUGAGGAGCGAAAGCGUGGGGAGCGAACAGGCUUAGAUACCCUGGUAGUCCACGCUGUAAACGGUGGGUACUAGGUGUGGGGUCCAUUCCACGGGUUCCGUGCCGUAGCUAACGCUUUAAGUACCCCGCCUGGGGAGUACGGCCGCAAGGCUAAAACUCAAAGGAAUUGACGGGGCCCCGCACAAGCGGCGGAGCAUGCGGAUUAAUUCGAUGCAACGCGUAGAACCUUACCUGGGUUUGACAUGGAUCGGGAGUGCUCAGAGAUGGGUGUGCCUCUUUUGGGGUCGGUUCACAGGUGGUGCAUGGCUGUCGUCAGCUCGUGUCGUGAGAUGUUGGGUUAAGUCCCGCAACGAGCGCAACCCUUGUUCACUGUUGCCAGCACGUUAUGGUGGGGGCUCAGUGGAGACCGCCGGGGUCAACUCGGAGGAAGGUGGGGAUGACGUCAAGUCAUCAUGCCCCUUAUGUCCAGGGCUUCACGCAUGCUACAAUGGCUGGUACAGAGAGUGGCGAGCCUGUGAGGGUGAGCGAAUCUCGGAAAGUCGGUCUCAGUUCGGAUUGGGGUCUGCAACUCGACCUCAUGAAGUCGGAGUCGCUAGUAAUCGCAGAUCAGCAACGCUGCGGUGAAUACGUUCCCGGG